AUUGAACGCUGGCGGCAGGCCUAACACAUGCAAGUCGAACGAGUGGCGGACGGGUGAGUAAUGUUUGGGAAACUGCCUGAUGGAGGGGGAUAACGACUGGAAACGGUAGCUAAUACCGCAUACCAUCAGAUGUGCCCAGAUGGGAUUAGCUAGUUGGUGGGGUAACGGCUCACCAAGACGACGAUCCCUAGCUGGUCUGAGAGGAUGACCAGCCAAACUGGGACUGAGACACGGUCCAGACUCCUACGGGAGGCAGCAGUGGGGAAUAUUGCACAAUGGGCGCAAGCCUGAUGCAGACAUGCGGGGGGAAUGAAGAGGGCCUUCGGGUUGUAAAGUACUUUCUGCAGGGAGGCGUUACCCACAGAGGAAGCACCGGCUAACUCCGUGCCAGCCGCCGCGGUAAUAC
rnacentral:rRNA from 1 species